GACGAACGCUGGCGGCGUGCUUAACACAUGCAAGUCGAACGGAAAGGCCCUGCUUUUGUGGGGUGCUCGAGUGGCGAACGGGUGAGUAACACGUGAGUAACCUGCCCUUGACUUUGGGAUAACUUCAGGAAACUGGGGCUCAUACCGGCUAGGAGCUCCUGCUGCAUGGUGGGGGUUGGAAAGUUUCGGCGGUUGGGGAUGGACUCGCGGCUUAUCAGCUUGUUGGUGGGGUAGUGGCUUACCAAGGCUUUGACGGGUAGCCGGCCUGAGAGGGUGACCGGCCACAUUGGACUGAGAUACGGCCCAGACUCCUACGGGAGGCAGCAGUGGGGAAUAUUGCACAAUGGGCGGAAGCCUGAUGCAGCAACGCCGCGUGCGGGAUGACGGCCUUCGGGUUGUAAACCGCUUUCGCCUGGGACGAAGCGUGAGUGACGGUAAUGGGUAAAGAAGCACCGGCUAACUACGUG
rnacentral:rRNA from 1 species